ACGCUCGACACCUACGGGAGGCAGCAGUGGGGAAUAUUGCACAAUGGGGGAAACCCUGAUGCAGCGACGCCGCGUGAGCGAAGAAGUAUUUCGGUAUGUAAAGCUCUAUCAGCAGGGAAGAAACUGACGGUACCUGACUAAGAAGCACCGGCUAAAUACGUGCAAGCAGCCGCGGUAAUCUGAGCGGGCUGGCAAGGC
rnacentral:rRNA from 1 species